AUAUAGGUAAGUUGUCAUAGUAAUAUCGAAUCUUUGAUGGAGCUUAUAUCAUAAUCUGGAACAGUUAAUUGUUAUAGAAUAAGAGAGUUGGUGGUCGGGUUGAUUCUAGAGACGAAAAAUAAUAUCAAUGGUUCUGAACUUUCUACUCUACUUGCUAGCCAUAUGGAUGUGGACAAGGUAAGUUUCGGGCUAUGGCCCAACUGGUGCAGCUCUUGCUAGCCAUAUGGAUGUGGACAAGGAUGAUAUGCUGAUAGCUCAAGAUGAGAUAUUUGGUCCUGUUCAAACCAUCUUGAAAUUCAAGGAGGUUGAUGAAGAGAUACAAAGGGCCAAUGCGACGCGAUAUGGACUUGCAUCGGGUGUUUUCACC